rnacentral:rRNA from 1 species
UACGGAGGGUGCGAGCGUUGUCCGGAAUUAUUGGGCGUAAAGGGCUCGUAGGCGGUUUGUCGCGUCGGGGAGUGAAAACACCGGGCUUAACUCGGUGCUUGCUUUCGAUACGGGCAGACUGGAGGUAUGCAGGGGAGAACGGAAUUCCUGGUGUAGCGGUGAAAUGCGCAGAUAUCAGGAGGAACACCGGUGGCGAAGGCGGUUCUCUGGGCAUUACCUGACGCUGAGGAGCGAAAGUGUGGGGAGCGAACAGG